rnacentral:snoRNA from 13 species
UGGAUAUGAUGACUGAUUAUCUGAGACAAACUGAUGAAACCAAUAAAAAUUCCUCUAGAUAGUCAAGUUCUGAUCCAC